rnacentral:misc_RNA from 1 species
CACCACUCAAGCCUCGCUUGGUAUUGGGCGACGCGGUCCGCCGCGCGCCUCAAAUCGACCGGCUGGGUCGAUCGCACCCUCAGCGUUGUGGAAACUAUUCGCUAAAGGAGUUGUCGGUCGGUCACGCCGUGAAACAACCCAAUUUUUCUAU